GAUGAACGCUAGCGGCAGGCCUAAUACAUUCCAGUCGACCGGUGUCUUCGGACAUAGUGGCGCACGGGCGCGUAACACGUAAGCAACAUACCUUACAAUGGGGGAUAGCAUAUCGAAAGGGAGACUAAGACGGCAUAAGACAGUAGCUGGGCAUCCUGCAGCUGUUACAGCUUUCUCGAUGUCAGCUGGGCAUGCGUACAGUUAGCUACUUGGUGAGGUAACGGGCCACCUACGCAAUGAAUGGUAGGGGAACUUCGGUGUCAAUCCCCCACACUGGCACUGAGAUACGGUCCAGACUCCUUCGGGAGGCAGCAGUAGGGAAUAUUGUGCAAUGUACGCAAGUCUGACACAGCCAUGCCGCGUGCAGGAUGAAGGCUGUAUGCAGUGUAAACUGCUUUUAUACAGGAAGAAACGACUCUUGCGAGAGGCAUUGACGGUACUGUAUGAAUAAGCACCGGCUAACUCCGUUCCAGCCGCCGCAGUAACAC
rnacentral:rRNA from 1 species